ACAUGUAGGGCUGGAUGGGGUGUUCCAGGAGGGCCAGCACCAGUGGUGGGAGGGAUGGUGGGCCCUCGGCAGGACUGCUCCACUUCUGGUGUCCGCCUCUCCUCCGGUCUCCCCUGUGGCUCCAAGAAGCUGUAGCACACACAGGGGCCAUGCUCUGGUGAAACUCUCUCAGCAGACAACUAAACAAGGUAGAGAGCAACUGAGAGGCCUCACAGCCAUGGGUGAGCAAAGCAUGUGAAGGCUUCUGCUGGUAGAAUGGCAGGAUGAGUUUGUUCCAAUGGCCAUAAUGGCGGCUGAUGCAGCCGCUGAGCAGGGAUUACAGCUUGAUUGGACAUCAAAGAUUCCAAGAUCAACUGCAGGAUCUCAGGCCACUACCCUGGUGCUUGGGUCGGGGUGUUGAGGCAGAGGACAGAUGAGAGGAGAAAGCCUGCGGUGGGUGAGGCAGCAGAGAGGGUGCUGGGGAGGGUCUGGGAAGGGCAGAUUGUGGGGAGUGGCCCCUCCAGUGUUUGGCCAAGAGAGCCUCUCUCGAGGUCAUGCCUGUGCUGAUUAUGGGGGUGUGGGUCACAGGUUCCCUGCCUUGUUCUCUUCCCAAUCUGACCACACAACAGCAUCUAGAACCAGGCAGGAAGAGGUUUUGACGGCAAUUAUCAGAGCCUGGACUCCUGCCCUGUGCCUGCUGGGAUGGGCUCUGUCUCCCACCCCUAGAGAAGGGCCUGGAAGCCCUGGGCCUUGGGAAUUCAAGGAGGGAGCUGGGGUUCUGAGAGGGAGUCAGUCUGGAGGUGGAAAACUGGGGCCUAGGGGACAAUAAGCCCCCACUUAUCGUCCCCACCCCUCUCUCUCCCACAGCCUUCUCUUCCCAGGAGAACAGCUCUUGGCCCCUCAUGCUCACCCUGCUCCAGGGAGCCCUCAUGGGGGCCGGAUUUCUACUCAGUUAUGGCCUCACCUGGCUCUAUUACACCUGGAAGCUUCUAGGGAGGAAGCAGUCACCAGCUCCAGAAGCUGCCCAGUGCUCUGUGUGAAGGCUCUCCUGUCCUUGACCCCAGCCCAGACCUGCCUCCUGCCCCUUCCCAUCAAAGGCCCCACUUCUGCCCUCAGGGACACAGCAAGUCAAGCCUGACCCACCAGCUAGAGGACCGACCUCCAGGCCUAGAAGACAGUCCUCAGGUCUCCCCUGGGUAUCCUCUUCUCCCUCUGAACAGCCCUGGGUCCUUCCCCUGAUUGGCCUAUGGCAUGAUCUCAUAGAUGGAGGGAGGAGGUCUGUAUUCCAGGACCUGCUCCCCAGGACAUGCCUCCUUGUCUGAUGAGUUUCCUCAUCUGAAAUAAGAAGGUUAGACUCGAUACUCUCUGUUCCUGCCAUCAGGGUGCUAGCACCCAAGGAAUGAGGGUCACCAGGUUUCUGAGCCAUGCCUCCCCCACGCCAGAUGCCUUAAGUGAAUAUGUGUCUGCUACUAGGGUCCAGGGAGGGGGAGGUCUUGCUCCUGCCAAGGCCCUACCCGCUCUUCUCCUUUACCAUCAGAUGGUGACAGGCCUCUCCUGUUCUGCAGGUCUUUGUAAAGUGAAUAAAUAUAAAGUUAUA